rnacentral:rRNA from 1 species
UACGUAGGGUGCGAGCGUUGUCCGGAAUUACUGGGCGUAAAGAGCUCGUAGGCGGUCUGUCGCGUCGGCUGUGAAAACCCGAGGCUCAACCUCGGGCCUGCAGUCGAUACGGGCAAACUAGAGUACUGCAGGGGAGACUGGAAUUCCUGGUGUAGCGGUGAAAUGCGCAGAUAUCAGGAGGAACACCGGUGGCGAAGGCGGGUCUCUGGGCAGUAACUGACGCUGGAGGAGCGAAAAGCGUGGGGAGCGAACAGG